rnacentral:rRNA from 1 species
AGUAGUUUGAUCCUGGCUCAGGAUGAACGCUAGCUACAGGCUUAACACAUGCAAGUCGAGGGGCAGCAUGACGAUAGCUUGCUAUUGUUGAUGGCGACCGGCGCACGGGUGCGUAACACGUAUCCAAUCUACCCGGUACUCGGGGAUAGCCUUUCGAAAGAAAGAUUAAUACCCGAUACUGUUGGACCUCCGCAUGGUGGUCCGACCAAAGAUUUCAUCGGUGCCGGAUGAGGAUGCGUCUGAUUAGGUAGAUGGCGGGGUAACGGCCCACCAUGCCGACGAUCAGUAGGGGUUCUGAGAGGAAGGUCCCCCACAUUGGAACUGAGACACGGUCCAAACUCC